rnacentral:miRNA from 1 species
AGCGGGGAGGAAGUGGGCGCUGCUU